rnacentral:rRNA from 1 species
AGCGAACGCUGGCGGCAGGCCUAACACAUGCAAGUCGAACGAUCCUUCGGGAUAGUGGCGGACGGGUGAGUAACACGUGGGAACGUGCCUUUAGGUUCGGAAUAACUCAGGGAAACUUGUGCUAAUACCGAAUGUGCCCUUCGGGGGAAAGACUUAUCGCCUUUAGAGCGGCCCGCGUCUGAUUAGCUAGUUGGUGGGGUAAUGGCCCACCAAGGCUACGAUCAGUAGCUGGUCUGAGAGGAUGACCAGCCACAUUGGGACUGAGACACGGCCCAAACUCCUACGGGAGGCAGCAGUGGGGAAUCUUGCGCAAUGGGCGAAAGCCUGACGCAGCCAUGCCGCGUGGAUGAUGAAGGUCUUAGGAUUGUAAAAUCCUUUCACCGGUGAAGAUAAUGACUGUAGCCGGAGAAGAAGCCCCGGCUAACUUCGUGCCAGCCGCCGCGGUAAAAC